rnacentral:rRNA from 1 species
UACAGAGGGUGCAAACGUUGCUCGGAAUCAUUGGGCGUAAAGCGCACGUAGGCGGCCCAGCAAGUGGGGAGUGAAAGCCUUCGGCUUAACCGAGGAAGUGCUUUCCAAACUACUGGGCUUGAAUACUGGAGAGGGUCGCGGAAUUCCCGGUGUAGAGGUGAAAUUCGUAGAUAUCGGGAGGAGCACCAGUGGCGAAGGCGGCGACCUGGACAGAUAUUGACGCUGAGGUGCGAAAGCGUGGGGAGCAAACAGG